rnacentral:lncRNA from 1 species
CACCUGAAUUUUGGAUUGGGAAUUUGAAAUGCUUGAAAUCAUGUGAUUUUCGCUUGCACGAAACCCUGUAUUUCAAUUUUACAUUUCAAAAAUCAUGAUUGAAAUAAAUUCUUUCAAAAGUCAAGUAUCAACACAAAAUCAACCUACAGCUAUGUUCUCUUGCACGGAAUUACCCUACAGCUACAAAAUCAGCGCGCAUCACUUGGUGGUGAUUCUUGUUCUCCACAAUUAUGUUCUCUUGCACGGAUGCCAACCAAUUCGAUUGAGUCAAAUCAAAAGUCGAUCCAGUCGAAUUUCUAGACCUCGACAAUGAAAGCUUCCUCUCAAUUAUUGAUUGCGACUUCAGAGAUUUGAGGUCAUGGUUGAGCUGUGGGUGCUAUGGGUAGGGACAUGUUUACCUUGAAAGUGCGAUGCGAGAUUGAGCAUGGAUACUUGGGGGGAAGUGAAAAGUGGAAAAUGGAAGCCAUUACAGAGAAGCCGAAAGUCACAAGGGGAUUGUAGACGAAGGUGAUGGUAACAUAAUAGUGGUGGAUUGUUGUUAUAAAUUUGAGGUAUUUGUUGUUGUGGAUUUGAAAUUGUAGUGGUAAUUGUUACUGUGGAUUUGAGGUGAAUGUGUUAUUUAUGGUUGUAAAUUUGUGUUGAAAGUAGUAGUGGUCUUGCAUUGGAGGUGAUGGUGGUGGUGCUGAUCUGUGAUGUGUACAUGUUUGUU